UGUAGAAUUCUGUGGUGCGCACUCAUUUCACACCUUUGAAAUUCUGGAGUGUACUAGAUCUACAUGUACCACGAAAGCGGAAUAGAGAAUCAAUCCCAAGACAGAUGAAUACGAUUCUCUAUUCAUGCGGCAGCAGAUGCACAGAGACAACCUGAACCAGACUGAAGUCCAUUUUUUUUCCUUCUAUUUUUAUGAGCUGUAUGAAGCAGUCGACUCUACGAGUGGAUUUUGAAAAGUAAGCUAUAGCGGGGGCACGCAUUGGUGGGGAUACUGCCUCUUCGGACACUGCAACACACAAAAUGACUACCGGAGUGCUAUUUUGAAACUAAUUGAUGCAGAAAUGUACAAUGAUUCAUCCUGGAAAAGGGAGAAAGCCAGACCCUCUGGAUGUUCCUGCUACCAACAAGAUUUUCAUAAUCCGUCACUUAGUUGGAGAACAAGGGAACAUGAAAAGUAUUGAUAAGUGGCGAAGUGGUUUCAGAAACUUUUUUUCCGAAUUCGUCUUUGACACCAGAUUGUGUGGUCAGGUAGUGUGAAUGUGUGGUGCAGAAAAUACUGACUCUGUAAAUGGAAAGUGACAUCCUGUGUGAGUUUUUGAGGAGGCCACUGAAACUGAACUCUUGUGUCUUUUUCCCUGGAUGCUUGUGGCAUGGACGGAACAAGACAUAUUUUUAACUGCAUGUUUAAUUAUGUUGGGAAUAAAAGCUUGACUAACGAAAAA